rnacentral:rRNA from 1 species
UACGAAGGGUGCAAGCGUUAAUCGGAAUUACUGGGCGUAAAGGGUGCGUAGGCGGUUGUUUAAGUCUGUCGUGAAAUCCCCGGGCUCAACCUGGGAAUGGCGAUGGAUACUGGACAGCUAGAGUGUGUCAGAGGAUGGUGGAAUUCCCGGUGUAGCGGUGAAAUGCGUAGAGAUUGGAAAGAACACCAAUGGCGAAAGCACUUUACUGGGCUAUUACUGACACUGAGAGACGAAGCUAGGGUAGCAAAUGGG